GGGCGGGACGGGACAUGGCCAGCGUAUCGUUUUAGAAUUCCUACGCUUUACCGUCGUAUACGCAAUUUGGCAAAGCGUUUGGAUUCUGAAACAAUAUAUGGUCAAAAGCAUCAGCGGAUGAG
rnacentral:pre_miRNA from 15 species